rnacentral:rRNA from 1 species
AACAGCCAAAACUUUCAACAACGGAUCUCUUGGCUCUGGCAUCGAUGAAGAACGCAGCGAAAUGCGAUACGUAAUGCGAAUUGCAGAAUUCAGCGAGUCAUCGAAUCUUUGAACGCACAUUGCGCCCGCCAGCAUUCUGGCGGGCAUGCCUGUCCGAGCGUCAUUUCCCCCC